rnacentral:rRNA from 1 species
ACGGCCGCGGUAUCCUAACCGUGCAAAGGUAGCAUAAUCAUUUGUCUACUAAUUAUAGACCUGUAUGAAAGGCAAAAUGAGGGUCUAACUGUCUCUUAUAGUACAUCAAUUAAACUGAUCUCCUAGUAAAAAAGCUAAGAUUAAAUCAUAAGACCAGAAGACCCUGUGAAGCUUAAACUAAACUAUUAAACCCAAUAAUAACUACUUUCGGUUGGGGCGACCUUGGAAAAAAAAAGAACUUCCAAAUAACAUAUACAUAAAAUAACAACCAGGCUUACACGCCACAUUACGACCCAGCAAGACUGAAAAUUGAAACAAGUUACUCCAGGGAUAACAGCGCAAUCUUCUUCAAGAGCCCAUAUCAAAAAGAAGGUUUACGACCUCGAUGUUGGAUCAGGACAUCCUAAUGGUGCAGCAGCUAUUAAGGGUUCGUUUGUUCAACGAUUAAUAGUCCUACGUGAUCUGA